rnacentral:rRNA from 1 species
ACGGAACUUCGGGUUUAGUGGCGGACGGGUGAGUAACGCGUGAGAUCUGCCUCUAGGUCGGGGACAACAACUGGAAACGGUUGCUAAUACCCGAUGUGCAGCAAUGUGAAAGAUUAUUGCCUAGAGAUGAGCUCGCGUCUGAUUAGCUAGUAGGUGUGGUAAUGGCGCACCUAGGCGACGAUCAGUAACUGGUUCUGAGAGGAUGACCCAGUCACACUGGGACUGAAGACCGGCCCAGACUCCUACGGGAGGCAGCAGUGGGGAAUUUUCCGCAAUGGGCGAAAGCCUGACGGAGCAAUACCGCGUGAGGGAGGAAGGCUCUUGGGUUGUAAACCUCUUUUCUUAGGGAAGAAGCUCUGACGGUACCUAAGGAAUAAGCAUCGGCUAACUCCGUGCCAGCAGCCGCGGUAAUACGGAGGAUGCAAGCGUUAUCCGGAAUCAUUGGGCGUAAAGCGUCCGUAGGUGGCAGUUCAAGUCUGCUGUUAAAAGGCUGGGGCUUAACCCCAGACAGGCAGUGGAAACUGAACAGCUAGAGUGUGGUAGGGGUAGAGGGAAUUCCGGUGUAGCGGUGAAAUGCGUAGAUAUCGGGAAGAACACCGGUGGCGAAAGCG